AUUGUAUCCACGAUUGGGGAAUUUUCCGCAAUGGGCGAAAGCCUGACGGAGCAAUACCGCGUGAGGGAGGAAGGCUCUUGGGUCGUAAACCUCUUUUCUCAGGGAAGAACACAAUGACGGUACCUGAGGAAUAAGCAUCGGCUAACUCCGUGCCAGCAGCCGCGGUAAUACGGAGGAUGCAAGCGUUAUCCGGAAUGAUUGGGCGUAAAGCGUCCGCAGGUGGCUGUGUAAGUCUGCUGUUAAAGAGUCUAGCUCAACUAGAUAAGAGCAGUGGAAACUACACGGCUAGAGUACGUUCGGGGCAGAGGGAAUUCCUGGUGUAGCGGUGAAAUGCGUAGAGAUCAGGAAGAACACCAGUGGCGAAGGCGCUCUGCUAGGCCGUAACUGACACUGAGGGACGAAAGCUAGGGGAGCGAAUGGGAUUAGAUACCCCAGUAGUCAAUCGUGGAUACAAU
rnacentral:rRNA from 1 species